AGGAAAUGCUCAAGGUUCUCAGUCAUCACCUCAAGCCUUUCAGCCUAUACCCUCGGAGCCUGCAGAAAGUGACGGACAGGAUCACGGUGCUACCGAUCCUCCCUCCGGAAUCAGAGAUACCCCGCUAGGAACUGGAACCACAAACAUAGGCAGUGGUACCUUCUCCCAAAACAUUAAUGCAUCACAACCAGUUACCGUAAAUGUC